UCGCACACCCCACGCCAGGCACCUGCUGAAGAACUUGCCAAGGCAGAUGUAGCUCUAGCGCAGCCUCGCCUGCUGCAUGCAUGGUGCAAAGUUGCACUGAAACAGCAGAAAAUAUGCUGCCACCAGCCAAAGGACACUGAGCUGUGACAAGCGAGGGUGAGACAUGAACAGCUGAGAAACGUCACUUGUAGGCAACACCAUCACGUUACAGAAUUAUACAGCUGCUUGCUGUUACCGCUCCUGCCUGUAAGAACAACAGUUACGCGUGGGGAUGCGUGUCAUCCACGGAGAAGAGCUCUCGCCGAGACGCACACCAGCGCCCAGGCUACACAGACAGCAGCUGCGGCGAGGCCAACGGGGAAGCGGGGGAGGCGCUGGCUCCUCUCGACGACCUUCCACAAUCCCGGGCCAGAGGCUACGGCACCCGGAGGAGCCCCAGGGGGCCGAAA